AUGGCGCGCGGAGGAGAAGCAGGGUCGGGGCGCGUCGAAAGGGUGCAGCAGCAGCUGCUGGUGCCAGCGGCGAGGGGGAAGAAGGGGUGUCGAGGCGCUGAGCUGCAGCUGUUCGCUGCAGAGAGAGACAGCCAGGGGACGCGAGGAGGCCAAGAAGACAGGGAGGUCGAGGACGGUGGCGCUGCAGCAGGGCGCGGCGGCUGGGUUCUUGCCGGAGGAGGACCGAGAAACAAGCGAGCAGAGGAGGCGGGGUCGGUGCCUGAGUUGUCCUCCUCUCCAUGGCUCUGGACGACGACGAAGAUGAGAGACAGGGCACCACGAGCGGCUGCACCUGCGUCAGAACUUGGCGCGGAAGCCACCGCCAUCUCCAGGAAGGAGAUGGCGGCGGGCAGAAGCACGGGUCCGUGA
rnacentral:rRNA from 1 species